rnacentral:rRNA from 1 species
GGGGGAGUAUUGCACAAUGGGCGGCAAGCCAUGCAUGCAGCCCAUGCCGCGUGUGUGAAGAAGGCCUUCGGGUUGUAAAGCACUUUCAGCGAGGAGGAAGGGUUCAGUGUUAAUAGCACUGUGCAUUGACGUUACUCGCAGAAGAAGCACCGGCUAACUCCGUGCCAGCAGCCGCGGUAAUACGGAGGGUGCAAGCGUUAAUCGGAAUUACUGGGCGUAAAGCGCACGCAGGCGGUUUGUUAAGUCAGAUGUGAAAUCCCCGCGCUUAACGUGGGAACUGCAUUUGAAACUGGCAAGCUAGAGUCUUGUAGAGGGGGGUAGAAUUCCAGGUGUAGCGGUGAAAUGCGUAGAGAUCUGGAGGAAUACCGGUGGCGAAGGCGGCCCCCUGGACAAAGACUGACGCUCAGGUGCGAAAGCGUGGGGAGCAAACA